UACAGAGGGUGCGAGCGUUAAUCGGAUUUACUGGGCGUAAAGCGUGCGUAGGCGGCUAAUUGAGUCGGAUGUGAAAUCCCCGAGCUUAACUUGGGAAUUGCAUUCGAUACUGGUUAGCUAGAGUGUGGGAGAGGAUGGUAGAAUUCCAGGUGUAGCGGUGAAAUGCGUAGAGAUCUGGAGGAAUACCGAUGGCGAAGGCAGCCAUCUGGCCUAACACUGACGCUGAGGUACGAAAGCAUGGGGAGCAAAC
rnacentral:rRNA from 2 species